GUUACUUCCCUAGUCAAAGGGAAGUUACUUUCCUAGUCAAAGGGAAGUCAAACAUCCAACUUCCCGAGAAGUAAAAUGUAAAAAUUGAACCAAGCAAAAAAAAUUUGUUACUUCCCGAAAAGUACAACUUCCCUUAUCUAUUUACCCCAAACCAAGCAAGGCCUAAGUCUAAUAGGGAUUAAAGAGGAAGUGGGCCAGACUGAAGUCCACAGGUGAAUCAAGUCAAAAACUGAAAUCUUCUUCAGAUAAGUAAAUGCAUCGGCCGAGACAUGCAUUUCUCUGCCAUCGUUCUCCUUCCUCUGUUCUCGUUUAAGAACGGGUUUUAGUACUACAUUACCCAUACUCCAGUGCUGGUCGCGAUCUCUGAAAUUGGGCCGUGACACUCAUGUUCUUAUUAACACUGAUAUAAAGAAAUCGCCGAUGGAGAAGUUGGAGGUCCAAACCGACGCUGCCAUUGUCUCCAUAAAAACACCGCCGAUGUUGUUGCUCUUCUCUUUUUAGAUAGGGAUGAAGGCAAAAAAAAACAGUGAGACUGAAAGAGAAAUUGCGGUUAGCUGCUAGAAGUGGUUCCGUUGGUAAGUGGUGCCAUGGUUAUUGCCGUUGUUGUUGUUGAUCCAUGGUUAUAUACAAGGUGUAGCGACUGCUACCCUUAAACUAAAGAUAUAUGGUGUGGUGGAUUAGGUUUAGGUUUAACUGGGUUUUCAUUUAGAUUAAUUAGAUCUAAAUAUAGGUUUGAUUAGGAUAAUUAGUGUUAACUAUGGUUUUAAUUAAAACUUAAUUAAGUUUAAUUAUGUUUUAGUUAGAAUUUUAAUUAAUUUGGUUAUUAUAGUACUCAUUAUGUCUCAUUAAGAUAAAAAAGUAGUGCUUUUGUAAAAAUUAAGAAACUCAUUAAUUAUAAUUGAUAUAUUUAAAUA